ACAAUGGGCGCGGCGCCCGAGCCCCUGACAGCGCCAUAAAUUGGCCGUGCAAAGCCGAGCGCUAGGUGGUCCCCCCUGGAGAAAAGAGCCGCCGCCGAGGGCGCGAAAAGGCGAGUCCGGAAGCCCGCCAGGGAGCCAGUGGCGCGUUUUCCAGAUCACCCUGUUGGAACUUAGCGUAGCAGAGGAAGAACACCAUGGAAUAAGGAGAAAGGAGAUACAAGUAGCCUCUCCAGGAAGAAUGUGACUGAAUACUUUUUAUACAAAACCACAAAAUUAGAUAAAUAUGUAUUUAAGUGUUAUUCCUGAAAGCUGGAGAAAGAAAUCUUACUUCUAAGAAUUGUUUAGCGAAGGAAUAAGAAAAUGUGAUGCUUGGAAGAAAAAACACACUGCCGAGAGGCCUUGCGCUGAGUGUGCUGAACAAUAGACAACCUCUAAGGAUGCUCGCCUGCAAUUCCGGCUCUGCCAUCAAUUCACUGUAUGCCUUUGGAUCAUCUACAAGACAUGAAUGAUGUUCAGAAUUACUUGUCAUGCCCUUUGCUUGGGGCUGAAAACAAGAUGCAGUCACACAGAUUUCAAUGGAGUGUGUACUCUAGAGGCAGACUGCCUGGGAUCAAAAUGCUUGCAGUAUAACCAUUGACAGCUUCCAUAACUUAUCUCUUCCCAGGUUAAUCAACCUGUAAAAUGGGGUAAUAUCUGCUCCUCCCUCAUAGGGUUGUGCAUAAAAAUCUCAUGAGAUUAUAGGUGUAGAGAGUAUGCAACUAAGACAUGCCUGAGUGAAGUUUCCUAGGAGCCAGAUAAUUAAUCCAACAUUUAUCUGAAAUGCUGAACUAACUUGCAUAAUUCUUCAAAUGAAUAUCACACCUUCGAUGGGGACAUACAAAUUGUUUCAACCUGAGGCUUGAAAAUAUGUGUCAUAAAGCAUUCUGAUUUAUCAAGAACACGUUGUAAUUUGUUGCAUUUGGAAUGUAGCUACCUAACUUCCUGAAUAUUUUAAUAAAAUACCUGUAAAAUUACACAAUCAAAACUAUACCUCCACCAAGCAAAGUGACAGAGAUGGUACUAACAUCAACAAAAAGUGAGAAAACGAGAGCAAAGAGAGAUUAAGUUGUCAAAGAUCACUCAGCUGUCUCGUGAGCAUCCCCUAACACAGCAGAGAUAUCAAGUUGAUAAUAUAAAUUCAAGACAAAAUGUCUGAACACUCAUCAGAAACUGUCUUUUAGUUUGCAGAGAAAUUUGUGCCUGACAUUUGAAAUUUUCAAGAUAAAUAAAAAAAUCGUGGCCACAUA
rnacentral:lncRNA from 1 species